UACGGGGGAUGCAAGCGUUAUCCGGAUUUAUUGGGUUUAAAGGGUGCGUAGGCUGUGAGGUAAGUCAGCGGUGAAAUGCCCCCGCUCAACGGGGUGAAGUGCCAUUGAUACUGCCUCGCUGGAAUGCGGAUGCCGUGGGAGGAAUGUGUGGUGUAGCGGUGAAAUGCAUAGAUAUCACACAGAACACCGAUUGCGAAGGCAUCUCACGAAUCCGCGAUUGACGCUGAUGCACGAAAGCGUGGGUAUCAAACAGG
rnacentral:rRNA from 1 species